AACAAGAGGGAAGUGUGAUGAGGCAUUGAGUGGUUUACGAGUGGGAACUUCUUAAUUUCUCAACUAUAUAAUUGCCUGUGUUAAGUUGCUUUUUGCUUAAUUAUGACUACUGAACUGCAUUUCUUUAAACAUGAUCCCACUCUUGGUCCAGACUUCAUGGAUUAUUCGAAUUGUAAGCAGUGCAGUGAAUGGUACAUAUCCCCCAUGCCCAAUAUGGUACUGGACAAAGUAUAGAGAUCAAUGGAUGUUUUGAGUAAAUGAAUAAGAGGGAGAGCACAGUGCUAACUGCAGGAGGCCUGACAGGAAACAGAACUGUGCUCUAGCACUUUCCCAAGUAUUUCAGGUAAGCGUAAUAAAUUAGCUGGGGAACACUAAAGCACUGCUCCUUCAGGGUGCAUAGCUCACCUGGACAUGAUUCAGGAGCUCAUUCAGCUCUAUAACAAGAGACAAAACUAAGGUGAAUGGGGUAGAAGAUGAAUUUUCUUUUCUUUCUUUUUUUUUGAGGUAUGGAACUACCAAAAAAAAAAAAAUCCACUACAAUCACAUUAAUAUGAAAGAGCUAUAAAAUAGACACAGAUCAGUAGAGUUUAUUAGUUAGCAUUUGCCCCAGUUCAGCAUGCAGUUGUUAGAGCACAGUAUGUAAUGUUUGUGCAUGUAUGUUUUUUCCUUGAACACACAUGUAAAAGCUGGAGACACGGGCAACGGGAGGGAAUGAGCUAUGUCAAUAGCUGAAGUUUUACUCUUUAUGGCAAAAAAAAAUUAUCUUGAACACUGGUGAGGAGGUACAGGAGUUGUAAAUAUUACUAUGACCUCAGAGGCUCAUACAGUGUUGGGAGAGGGGGUGCGUGUAAACACAGAAUUAAUUAUGAGGCAAUGGUAAGGGACCCAAGAAACACAACACAUUGUGCCACUGAGCUUCAGAAGAGGGUAAAGACAUACUUCACUGAGGAUGGGGAUGAAGGAGUUCAAGGCUUAGAAAAAUAUAAUGCUUGCAGACCCUGGAUACCUAUUUUAGCCAUUCGGAGCCUUCAAAGUGGUUCCGCUUUCAGAAUCCUCUGCUGUGGACCAGGGUCAUGACCACAAGUCAGCAACCCUCUGAAAGUCAGUACAGAUUGCACAAAAGAGAAAAAGCUACUUACUGACAGUUUCGAAGUUCAUUGCCUCCACAGUCUAUGAAGUCAUAAAGGAUCCUCUCCACGGAAACAAGCAGGGAACCUCUGAGUGAGGGACCCCUCAGCAUCCUCUGCUUCCUUGGCUAAUUUUCCCCAGCAGGUGUGCAAUCUGCCUGCACCCCAAGUGUGAUAAGCUGUGUUCUCACCACGUGAAACUUUUGGAUUAUUGAAAUUUAGGCUGGCUCAAAUAAAGUUAAGUAAGCUAACAAUCUUCCCUCUGGCCCCACCUCCACACCUUCCCCCCACCCCCAUGCAUCUGUACUCCCCACUGCACUUCUGCUGGUCCAGGCUUGUGAACUUAAUCUGCUUUUAGGAAACAAGAUGUGGGAAAUUGACUUGACCCAGCAAGUGGACUUGAUUUAAACCCAAAAGGCUAAAUGCUCAGAAUGGACUUGUCCCUCCAGUUCUGAAGCCAGACAAUGGGGUGGGAAGUAAUCUAAAUCCUGCACAGUGAAUUAGUGGCUGAGACCUAUGCACCUGUUAUUGUUGCCGUUCACUAUUCCUAUAAUGGCAAUUACCCUUAUCGCACACACAGCAGAGAAGCCACAAGGAAAGCAGCGCUGAUGAACUACUCUUGUAGCUCAUUCCCCCUCUCAGAGCUACAAUCUGCAGUCUCCCCUUAGAAAAAGAGUUUAAAACUGAGUAUUUAAUGCUGAGAAAUGGGGAUUUGCUGUUCUUCAACUCAUGGCUGAACUGAUACCAUUUUCUUCGUGAUUUUUUUUAUUUCUCUAAUUCAGAUCUUCAGCAACCAGCAUAGUUACUGGUUCAUGUGGAACUGCUCAUUUGCCAUGAAGACUGUAUUCAUCUUAUUCUCUGAAUUCUUUUGGGAGAGGAUAGCUUGAUGGAUCUGUUUUAUUUGCAAGGUUGUGUUACUGAGAACACAUGUUCGAUCGGAAUUUAAAAGAACAGAAAGGAAAAGGAGAGUAAAGCAUAGGAGAAAGAUAUAUUUGAUAAAUCUUAAAUGAUCAGCUUGUGGUUCUUUAGAGAGAAAUCAGUUAUUUUUCCUAAUUGCAGCUCCGUUUGCUAGCCUGUUGGUAACAAUAAUAAUCUAGGCUUUGAAGCGUCUGCUACUUAAUGUAUAAUUUAAUAAUUUUUAUUUUUCCCCUAGUAUUCUGAGAUACAUGCUGUUAAGAUAUUUUCUCCAAUGGUGAUGUCCACAAGCAUAUUACCCAUGAGAGCCACUCUAUACCCUCUGUGGUAUAAAAGGGACAAAUAGUGGAAUCUCCUCUCUAUGGGUCCAUCAGGGAUUCCCCCUCAAUUUCUAGAACCUGGCUGCCAUUCCCAGUUCAAGUCUUUUUCAAGAGUCUUGCCCUGAAGUUACUAUAAAGAUUGCCAAACACACAACCCAGUCUAUUUGUCCAGUUAGCAUUGCUGCACAGGGAAAACUUGAAAGGCUGUUCAUGUGCAGCAGGGUUCCAUGGAAAGCUUUAGUGUGUGGAGUGUAGAUUAACAUCUAUCCAGAACUAAGUAGGGUUCAUGCCAUGUCCAUUUCAUGGGACAUUCUGCCCAUCUGAGUCAUAGCUGAGUUGAAUAUAUCAUUGAAAAUCAUUAUUUAUAUUAUCUAUCGCUUAGAAGGUCCCAGAGAGAUUAAAAAUAAAUAAAGAACUCAUCAAGACUUGGAAAAGUUUCAAUUAUGCAAGGAUCAAUAAGUUGUUGACAUCCGCUGUGUGACAUAGGGGCCUAUACUUAACAACAUUGUAUAAUGCACUUUUUAAAAAUGUGUUAAGAGAUAGAUGUCCUGUUAAGUGCUGUUAUUACAAACAAAGCAAACACAAAAGGGCACAAGGAAAUUUCUGGAAGUGAUGAAUAUGUUUAUUACCAUGAUUGUGCUGAUGGUUUCACGGGUGUGUGCAAUUGUCCUAACUCAUCAAGUUGUAUAAAUUACGUAAAGUUUUAAUAUAUAAGUUAUACCUCAAUAAAGCUUUUAAAAAAAGAGAAAGGGACAAGCAGAUGGAAAAAAUGACAGAAAGAAAUGUCCGUGGAUAUCCCCAGAAUAUUUACAGCUUUCAGUUAGGAGUGGGAAGGACUCGGAGACCAGAAGCAAUCAGCAAAUGUGAUCCAGGAGCUCUUAACUUUGAUCUCUGGCAUCUCAAAGCCAGUAUGGCUCUAUUCAGAAUAGAUGCAUAAACCAAAUUCAUUUUUAUCUACAAAUUUUUAAAUUUACUUCAAGUAUCAAGUCCUCAUGGAUAGAACUAAGGAGGUGAAGAGGUCAGACUCAGAGGUCAGAGGGCCUGCAUUCGAAUCCUAGUUUUACCAUUUACUAGAUACGUGAUUAGGGAUGAGUUUGUUUUUUUGUGCUUCAGGGUGUUUUGUUUUGUUUUGUGUUUCCACGUAAGACAGAGAUAAUAAUAUAACCUAACUCAAAGAAUACGUUGUGAAAUAAGCAGUGUGAAGUGCUUUAGGCAAUUGCCUGACGUAUGGCAAGGGCUCAAAUAUUAGUUUUUAGUGUUAAGGCAAGAUGGAAAGGUGUCCAAGGUGAUGAAGUAGCUCAGAGGGGAAGACGGAAGAAAUCACAAGGGAAGGGCAGGGUAAAGGGAAUUUGAGACAAAACAUGAGAGCAGAGAAGCAAUGGGAAGGGGUGGGGUAGCAUUUAAUAGUGAGAAAUACUAGUUUCUAUUUCAUAACCUCCAUUUCUACAGAUAAAGUUAAUAUGUCUAGACCAAAACAGUGGGCUAAUAUGGGCAUUGUAGAUCUUGACAAAUUCUUCUGUACAACCUACUAAACCCAGGGGAGAUUGUGCUGAGCAAGGGAUUUAUAGGCUAAGCAAAGGAGCACCGUUGGAUCCAACAAGAAAGGACUCUAAGACUUACAUGCUAUGACUUUAUGGUGAUUGUAAACGUAAUGAGCACAUGUGGUUCCUGAAUAAUAAUCUGUAUGUAUCCUCUCAUUUUGAGGUUUUCAAUCUGUUUUGUAAACUUUUGCCAGAACUCUUUUGUUUCACUAACUGACCGGUUGCCCCAGAGAGCAGAAGUGAGCUCAGCCAGUGUUGGCGAACAAAGGCCUGGCUCCUUGAGGAGCGUAUCUGAACUCCCUCUGAUCAGUCUGUGCUUUAGGGAUCUUCUUCCUCUUCCAGAAUAUACCCCAGACACCUCCUGAGAAAUGGGGUUGCAGCAUCACAACCACCUUGAAGAUGACAGAUUUGGGAAAGUUGAACACUCUACUCAUUAUAGGAGCCCAAGAAAACAUAUUCAAUUGUCUGCAAAUGAACAAUGUAGCCACGACCCUAUCAUUGAAGAAAGGAUGAGAACAGUUGAGCUAGAAACCAUCCUGUGAUCACACAGGAGCAAACAACAAUAUAGCUUCAUGAAGGGUAGUCAGAAGAACAAACAAAUUGUGCCCCAAACCAAGGAAAGAUGAAGGGGAAAAUGAGAAAGAGUUUAACUAGUUAAAGCUGUGGGGAGGAAAAAUCGUGUUUGAAAAAUUGGAGGUGAAAUUAGGGUUGGAGAAGGGGUGUGGAGCCAGGGAACCACAGGAGGCUAGGAAAUGAAGGUUUUCUUUGUAAAUUGUAUUUUGUAAAUCAGUCUGUUGAACAGUUAAACAAAUGGAAAAAGACUUAGGCUGGAAAAGCAAAGGGCCAAUGAUGGUCCCACCCACCAAAAUAACCAUUAACCUUGACUCCCUUGCAUCUAAGCAUUUCAUAAUAUAAUAAAGAGAAUUAAAAUCCCUGAA